UUUUUUUAAUUGCAUUGUGGAGUCUUGAAUGAAAAUGGCAAACCUUGAACCUCAAUCCUCGUUAAGAGAAGUGGUCAUUCCUGUUGGUUAUUGGAAUUAUUAACCAGCAUAAAUCGAAAUCGCAACGCAUUUUAAAUUUACUGGUGCAGAUGGAGGAAGCGCUCCUGAACCGAUUGCAUUGCUCAAAUGUUUCCUUGACAGCGGACCGCGCAAAAGUCGGUGACCAAAGUAAGCCCAACAAGUUUCGCCGCUCUGGCCAUCCAUAGUUUUCCACAUCCACGUACCAUUUUUGGCCCGAAAAGGAAAAGUGGUUCACCCGCGAAACCGGACUUUAAGCAGGGCUGGGCAAUUAAACUACUUGCAGUACUAGGAGGGGCGUAAUAAGUUUUAGGCACUGAACAAAUUUGAAGUAUUUAUUUGCGUUUUUGCAAAUUUAUAAAUUACAAAUUGAAUAUUUUCGAGAUUUUUCCGUACCUACGCUAGAUCAGAAGCUGAUUUUGAUCAGGGGAUUUUGGGGGGUAUGCAAAUUGGGCUUAGUGUGUGCUGGCGGGAGGGGGGUAGAAUCCUCCUUUCGCCUCCUACUGGAUCCGCGUCUGCCUUUGGUGAAUGGUAAAAUUCAACAUUCGACGAGUCUAUAUUGGAAUAAAGCGUACCCCUAUUUUUCAUCGUGUAUCAGUUCAUCCACCGCCAAAUGUGUGCGCUUCCGUUUUGUUGGAUUUCGACGCCUUCCUCUUUCCAAAGGAAGGAGGGAGAUAUAUAAGAGGCUGCUCCGCCCAGAGACUCUACAAUAGAAAUUCAGUCAUGGUCGGGUCACUUCGUGCUACACUGAUAGGCCUAGUAUUGCAGAUCCUGUGCAAUGAGCUAGCCGGCCAACAUGUGCUUCUCGCACGUCCCCAUAGAUCCCUUUUCAAAGCUUCGGAGCACCAGCUGGUGCACCUUCCCUCCUUGGGCUGGAUUGGAGGGGACCAAUGGGCCUACAGCCCCAUUGGCCUAGGACACAUGAGCAAGGAUGAGCUGCUGACCCUACUAGAGGCCUGGAAAGAGGUGGAUUCGGCCACGACAACCACAGCACCGCCAGCGAAGACCAACACACAGAGAACACCUCCCCCUAUACCGCCGCCUCCUCCACGACGCCCCAUUCCAAUACCCAUUCCCAUGCCUGCUCUGGAUCUUCUAUUUCCGCAGUCGCCUUCCGGAACUCCCAUUACCGCUCAGCUCCCAGCGUUUGUGCCUGUACGUCUGGCUGCCGUGUUUACUCCGCCUUCCGGUGGAACUGGUGUGGAAGGAGCUUAUGAUGAUGGUGCUCCGCCUGCUCCUGAAAGCGAAAGUGUUGGCGGAGAUGAUUUGGUCACCGAUGACGUACCAAAUGGCAAAGCCACUCCUCGUUUGUUUCGUUUUAUGUCUAUGCCAGUGGUUCAAGACAGCACCCAUUCCCAUAUACAGCUCAGGCAGAAGUUCGUGGUGAAGAACACCCUGGACAGCGUGGACGCGGGCACUGCUCCUGUCAGACAUCAAGUUAAACCGGAGGUAAAGCCCAAAACGAGUGCUUUUGCAGCUCCUCUAUCCAUCCCCAACGUUCCUAGCCACCCAGCCCUCAUUUUCCAAUCCAGACUUGGCAUGCCUUCUCAUCUGGCCAACGCACGCUUCGAACUGGUGCCCUCUUCACACGUCAUCGGCAACUGGCUGGAGUGAUCCUGCACCUUAAUAACAUGUUUCCAUAACCAAAGGAGAAGAGUUCCAUGUUCAUGCUGGACUUUUCCCCUUUUUCUCCUAUAGUGUAUUGUAAUAAAUAUAUUUUUUUUGUGCCCCAAACUAUAGUAUGAAAAUAGUCAUAGUCAAAACAGAGGCAGAGA